AUUGAACGCUGGCGGCAUGCCUAACACAUGCAAGUCGAACGAACGCGUGGGCUUCGGUCUCGUCGGGAGUGGCGAACGGGUGGGUAAUGCAUCGGAACGUGGCCUAACUCGGGGGAUAGUCUGGCGAAAGCCGGAUUAAUCUCGCACAGGACCAUAUGUUGAAAGUGGGGGUGCGAAAGUCCUAGCGGCUUUUGAGUGACCUAAGUCGUGAUAGCUAGUUGGUGAGGUAAAGGCUUACAGAGGCGACGAACCGAAGCUGGCCUGAGGAGACGACCAGCCACACUGGGACUGAGACACGGCCCAGACUCCUACGGGAGGCAGCAGUGGGGAAUCUUGGGCAAUGGGGGAAAGCCUGAUCCAGCCAUGCCGCGUGAGGGAUGAAGGCCUUCGGGUUGUAAAACGCUGUUGUUCGGGAAGAAGUACUCUGGUCUAAAACCCGGUGGUCAUGACGGUACCGGAAGAAUAAGCACCGGCUAACUACGUG
rnacentral:rRNA from 1 species